rnacentral:lncRNA from 1 species
GGACAAAGCCACUUGGAUGUGUUUUCCUCAAUAGCUAGGAGGUACUAGGGCUGCCGAGAUUGGAGGCAGAAAGGGAAAGAAUGAGGAGCGGCUUCUUUUUCNUUUUUAAUGGUAAAAACCAGGGAGAUUGAGCAAGGAAAGAAGGAAAGAAGCGAGCGUGCGAGUCGCGCCUGGGCUGGGCAAGGCGGACGGCUGUGUUUUCCCCCACGACUCGCAGCCGGAGCUUUCGAGGCGCUCAAGAUCAACCUGUUCGUGUGAACCUGCUGAUCCCCGUCACUGAAGUUUCAAGUAUGUUGCAGAGGCUCAGUGAGUAAGAAGGAAAGAUCAUCAGUGUCUUUCGUGGGCUCUCCUACGCAGGAGAUGCGUUUUAGAAUCAAAGGUGCUAGUCCUGGUGAAGUUGGCGAAGAUCGAAGUAAAUCCUCGACGACCUGCGCACUUCGAAUUAACCCGAGACCGAGCCGAGCUCUUAAUCUAUUUUCAAGCAGUUAAAAGAAACCGAUCUGCAAAGCUGGAAGGAACCCAGCAUUAAGCCUUAAGAUGCCUUAAGACCAAGCAACUCCUAUGUAGCCCAAACUCCUCGCGUGGGUUUGGACAACAGACAGUCGCCUAUCCCAACUGUGCAUCUAGAAAUUCAUAAGGGAAAAGAAAGUCCUCCUUGCCACUUGGAAAGAGGACGGAGCCCACGUUGAGAAGCAAAGGCACGCUUCAGCCAAGCAAAGAAGUCUUAAAGUCACAAAUAAACGCAUAAAUCUCUUGUGUUUAAAGAGGCA